UGUCUUUUAUUAUGAAUAAAGUUUAUUUUGUUAAAAAAUAGAGAAAUCGUGUACUAAAAAGUUCGGUCUCAGCAACCACGAGGAGGAGCUGUGGCGUUUUUACCUGAGUGCGAAGCAGUCCGCAAGCUUUGUUUUAUACAAUUGUUUGUGAGCAUUGAUGACCAUUCCCUUCUCCCACUGAGGGAGUUGUGGAGGGAGGAAACGCUGUCUGAGUGAU